rnacentral:rRNA from 1 species
CUGCUGCCUUCCGUAGGAGUCUGGGCCGUAUCUCAGUCCCAAUGUGGCCGGCCAACCUCUCAGUCCGGCUACUGAUCGUCGCCUUGGUGGGCCGUUACCUCACCAACUAGCUAAUCAGACGCGAGGCCAUCUUCCAGCGAUAAAUCUUUGACAUUCAAACCAUGCGAUUCAAAUGUAACAUGCGGUAUUAGCAGUCGUUUCCAACUGUUGUCCCCCUCUGGAAGGCAGGUUCCUCACGCGUUACU